rnacentral:rRNA from 1 species
UCCAAUCGAACCCGGAGAUAGCUGGUUCUCCUCGAAAUAGCUUUAGGGCUAGCCUCAUGGAUCAUUGAUGGGGGUAGAGCACUGAAUGUGCGCGGGGGCCACAAAGCCUACCAAACGCUAUCAAACUUCGAAUACCAUACAAUGCAGACCAUGGGAGUCAGUCCGCGAGAGAUAAGUUCCGCGGGCAAAAGGGGAACACCCCAGAUCAACCGCUAAGGUCCCCAAGUUCACGUUAAGUGGAGAAGGAUGUGGAAUUGCACAGACAACCAGGAUGUUGGCUCAGAAGCAGCCACACAUUUAAAGAGUGCGUAAUAGCUCACUGGUCGAGUGAUUGUGCGCCGAAGAUGUCCGGGGCUAAACGUGACACCGAAGCGAUGGGUGCGUCUGAAGAAGAUGCGCGGUAGAGGAGCAAUGUGCAGAGGCAGAAGCCGUAUCGAGAGGCACGGUGGACACUGCACAAGAGAGAAUGCCGGUAUGAGUAGCGAGAGGCAUGCGAGAAACAUGCCCGUCGAAAGCCCAAGGUUUCCUGGGGAAGGUUCAUCCGCCCAGGGUAAGUCGGGGCCUAAGCCGAGGACGGAAGUCGUAGGCGAUGGACAGCAGGUGUAGAUUCCUGCACUACCGAUGGAAUGAAGCAGUGACACAGAAGGAUAACUCGAGCAGGGUGAUGGUCAACCCUGUGCAAGCAUCAAGGUUGGGUUGUAGUGAAGUACGCAACCCUAUAAGCUGAGAUGUGAUGCGGACCGAAAUUUCAGUAGGGAAGCGAGUGAGUUCACGCUGGCGAGAAAAGCUGCUAGUACAUCCAAAGGUACCCGUACCGGAAACCGACGCAGGUGGGCGAGGAGAGAAUCCUGAGACGAACGGGAGAACCCUUGUUAAGGAACUCGGCAAAAUGACCCCGUAACUUCGGGAUAAGGGGUGCCUGCGAGAGCAGGCCGCAGAGAAUAGUCACAAGCGACUGUUUAGCAAAAACACAGGUAUCUGCGAAAGCGAGAGCUGACGUAUAGGUGCUGACACCUGCCCGGUGCUGGAAGGUUAAGGGAACAUGUUAGAGCAAUCGAAGCAUCGAACCGAAGCCCCAGUAAACGGCGGCCGUAACUAUAACGGUCCUAAGGUAGCGAAAUUCCUUGUCGGGUAAG